rnacentral:rRNA from 1 species
GGCGAACGGGUGAGUAAUGUAUCGGAACGUGCCCUAGAGUGGGGGAUAACGUAGCGAAAGUUACGCUAAUACCGCAUACGAUCUACGGAUGAAAGUGGGGGACCGCAAGGCCUCACGCUCCUGGAGCGGCCGAUAUCUGAUUAGCUAGUUGGUGGGGUAAAAGCCUACCAAGGCGACGAUCAGUAGCUGGUCUGAGAGGACGACCAGCCACACUGGGACUGAGACACGGCCCAGACUCCUACGGGAGGCAGCAGUGGGGAAUUUUGGACAAUGGGGGCAACCCUGAUCCAGCAAUGCCGCGUGUGUGAAGAAGGCCUUCGGGUUGUAAAGCACUUUUGUCAGGAACGAAACGGUGGGGGCUAAUAUCCUCUGCUAAUGACGGUACCUGAAGAAUAAGCACCGGCUAACUACGUGCCAGCAGCCGCGGUAAUACGUAGGGUGCGAGCGUUAAUCGGAAUUACUGGGCGUAAAGCGUGCGCAGGCGGUUGUGCAAGACAGAUGUGAAAUCCGCGGGCUUAACCUGGGAAUUGCAUUUGUGACUGCACGGCUAGAGUGUGUCAGAGGGGGGUAGAAUUCCACGUGUAGCAGUGAAAUGCGUAGAUAUGUGGAGGAAUACCGAUGGCGAAGGCAGCCCCCUGGGAUAACACUGACGCUCAUGCACGAAAGCGUGGGGAGCAAACAGGAUU